rnacentral:rRNA from 1 species
CGGGAAUCUUGCACAAUGGGCGAAAGCCUGAUGCAGCAACGCCGUGUGAGCGACGAAGGCCUUAGGGUCGUAAAGCUCUGUUGUUAGGGACGAAGGGCGAAGGGUUAAUAGCCCUUAGCCUGACGGUACCUUUCGAGGAAGCCCCGGCUAACUACGUGCCAGCAGCCGCGGUAAUACGUAGGGGGCGAGCGUUGUCCGGAAUUAUUGGGCGUAAAGGGCGCGUAGGCGGCCUGGUAAGUCUGCUGUGAAACCUUGGGGCUCAACCCCAAGCGUGCAGUGGAUACUGUCAGGCUAGAGGAUGGUAGAGGCCAGUGGAAUUCCCGGUGUAGCGGUGAAAUGCGCAGAUAUCGGGAGGAACACCAGUAGCGAAGGCGGCUGGCUGGGCCAUUCCUGACGCUGAGGCGCGAAAGCUAGGGGAGCGAAC